GCCGGGCGUGGUGACUCAUGCCUGUAAUCCCAGCACUUUGGGAGGCUGAGGUGGGCGGAUCACCUGAGGUCAGGAAUUUGUGACCAGCCUGAUCAACAAGGUGAAACCCCGUCUCUA
ensembl:misc_RNA Metazoa_SRP Metazoan signal recognition particle RNA